rnacentral:snoRNA from 1 species
CAUCAUGAUGAUUGUUUUACCGACCGGGCGGACAGAAUAGUAUCGGUUUUGGGUGGUUGCUCGCUGUCUUCAAGUGUACAUUUUUUCUAGAGGAUGGUGGCAGCCCUUUGAAAAGCUCAAAAUCCGAGAAGUGGUGAGUGGUCGUGAGAUAGCUGAUU